GUGCUCACUUCGGCAGCACAUAUACUAAAACUGGAAUGAUACAGAGAAGAUUAGCAUGGCCCCUGUGCAAGGAUGACACGCAAAUCUGUGAAGCGUUCCAUAUUUUU
ensembl:snRNA U6 U6 spliceosomal RNA